AUCGUAUUCAAGCUACUUAUUACCCGCAUAUAUAUCUAAGGUUUUUGAAUGUCAAAAUUGGUAAACCGUCAAUAACAACGGAUGGUAUUACUGAUGUUAUCAGCCCACAGACAUGCCGACUAUCUGAUCGAACGUACGCGGCUCCGAUAACUGUUGAUAUUGAAUACUCUCAGUCUCAGGGAACCUGAUGACCUAAAAAUAAUAAAACGGUCCCAUAUUAUUAUUGGAAUAUUGCCUAUUAUGUUGCGGAGUUGUUGUUGUGUUUUGGAUAAGAGAGACGAAGCUGAGCUUGCAAAACUUGGUAAUUUUAAUACAAGAACAACUUUCGAAGAAUAGAAUAAUUAUAGAAACCGG